CACGUAGGAGGCGAGCGUUGUCCGGAAUCAUUGGGCGUAAAGAGCGCGCAGGCGGCUUGGCAAGUCGGGUGUGAAAUCCCGGGGCUCAACCCCGGACUGCAUUCGAUACUGUCAGGCUAGAGGUAGGUAGGGAGAUCGGAAUUCCUGGUGUAGCGGUGAAAUGCGCAGAUAUCAGGAGGAACACCGGUGGCGAAGGCGGAUCUCUGGGCCGCAACUGACGCUGAGGAGCGAAAGCAUGGGGAGCGAACAGG
rnacentral:rRNA from 1 species